rnacentral:rRNA from 1 species
CACUAUGCUUAGCCCUAAACUUAGAUAUUAAUCUACUUAUUUUAUCCGCCUGGGAACUACGAGCAUCAGCUUAAAACCCAAAGGACUUGGCGGUGCUUUAGAUCCACCUAGAGGAGCCUGUUCUAGAACCGAUAAUCCCCGUUAAACCUCACCUUUCCUUGUCUUUAUCCGCCUAUAUACCGCCGUCGUCAGCUUACUCUGUGAAGACCCCAUAGUAGGCACAAUCGGCACAGCCCAAAACGCCAGGUCGAGGUGUAGCGUAUGGAAAGGGAAGAAAUGGGCUACAUUCAGUAAAUUAAUGCAUACGGAUGACAUCCUGAAAAAGAUGUCUGAAGGAGGAUUUAGCAGUAAGUAGAGAAUAGAGUGCUCUACUGAAUCUGGCCCUGAAGCGCGCACACACCGCCCGUCACUCUCCCCGAGCUAAUAAAAGCACAUAAUUAAUAAACCAGACCUGCAAAGGGGAGGCAAGUCGUAA